ensembl:lncRNA
AUGCCCGGUGACCGCCCAAUCAGUAGAUGGAUGUGUUUUCCUGGAAAAGAAGAAACACUGAGGCUGAUAGGAAGAUCCAGACUUUGGUGUGUGGGUGUGGAAUGGGGGAAAGGUAUGAGAAAGAGCUGCGCUGAUUCACAGGCUCAGGCAUCUUUUGAUUGUGCUAUUUACAUAUUUAGAAAUCCCAUUAGGGUUCCAAAGAAAGUAAAUUUUCAACAGCUGCUGGGGUGGUGAUAUGAAUAUGCAUAAGUGUUGUCCAAAAUGUGAAAAUGCAGCAAAAAAAAUGUGUGUGGUACAUUCUUUUAAUGCCAUAUGAAGCUGAAGGCCAGGGGAAUGUUCAAGUCACCACUCAAUUCAGUUUCAUAUUGAUUAAAGGUCUUGCACUAAGUUACAUGUCAACUUGUAGAGUUUUGUCUGUUAGAGAUAAAAAUGAUUUCUCUCUGGAGAUAACCUCAAAGAUUGUAUGUAUGGCCUUUUGGGGACAUUAAUCAGUUCUGUAUCUGACCCAAUAAUUUUAUCCUUUCAUUGACUGUUUAUAUCUAGUUUCUCAACUACUUUUUGAACUGGUCCUGAUAUCUUAUUAGUCCCCUUAAUUAAUGAAUUUAAUAAAUUGUUGACAUACACUUAUCUCUUUUUUUGCUCACAUCAUAUUCUAUUGGAUCAUCAUAUUUUUACAAUAUCAUUUUUAAAGCAUAUUUUAAAAUUACACAUUAAUAGUUUUAGCAUGUUAACAAAGAAGCCCAUUGGACUCAUCUAAUGGAAGAAAGUAAACCACAUUUCUUAGGAAGUGCUUCUUAUGGACUGUUUAAGCUCACAUACAUUUUUUCUUACACCCACUAAAAGGUGACUCUGUCUUUGGGUCAUGUCACUAAACAUGUUGUAAAUGUGAUAUGCGGAGGUGUGGGGGGGUUGCGUAAUAAGUGUCAGAAGUUUUGCUAGUCUGUAAAAUCAUGGUCUUGUUACCCAAUGUCAUGCCUAUGUGACGUAGCUGAAUUUCUACCCUGCCUAUCUUUAAGAAACAAGACACUUGUGAUCAAAAGUUUCCUUUGUAACCAAAGUAGCUGAGACUCAUUAGAAUCAAGAUAGCUGACCAAACAACUUUAAGAAGACCUCAGGAUUCAUGAUAAUCUCAUUUCCAUGCUUAAUGACACCCCAGUGCCAUCACAGUUGACAGUCACCAUGGCAAUGACUGAAAGAAGCCAUAAAAGGACAAAAAGGAGGCAGCACUCCAGUUCCAAGAAGUUCACCACUCAUUUCCAGAAAAGACACAAAUACUAUGUCUCUUGUUUUUAAUGUCCAACUCCUUCAUUAGAGAAGCCCUACAUUUUCAUCCCCUUACCCCUCACUAGUCGAGAAGCUCAUUUAUGAGCCAUGGCUGCCUUCUCAUUUCUAUGGCCAUCAAAUAAUGCCUUCACUGCUUGAUACUCACUUGUGGUUUUAUGUAUUGGCUUUGUGAUACCAAACAGGUGUCCCCCAUUCAAAGUAAACCACGUUUCUUAGGAAGUGCUAAGGUGACCAGCUUUUUUUGAUAACAAUAUAUUACAGAAAGUUCUUAAUUUAUCUAAGUACCAGUUUUAUUUUGUAAACUAUAUGUAAGUUAUUUGGGUCAAAGUUAUAAUUAUUAUUGAUGGUUGAGACUAUUAGAAGCUAUAGUGACAGAGACAUAUAGCUGUGUAUGCAAUCUAUUAUGAUGGUUUUGUUUUCAAAAGAGAAAAAAGAGUACUUUUACACCCUUUGUAAGGUUUGGGAUCCCCAGAAUAAUGCAGGGUGCUGACAAAGACCGAAG